rnacentral:lncRNA from 1 species
UUAGGGCCUCUUUGAUUCACAGGAUUUUGAAAAUGUAGGAAUAGGAAAAGUAUAGGAUUGCAGUGGCAUGUCAACUUGAAUCCUAUAGGAUUAGCAAAGAGUGUUUGAUGCCACAUGAAAAACAAAGGAAUUGUAAAAAGAGGUUGGAGUGGAUGUUAGGGCCUCUUUGAUUCAAAGGAUUUUCACAGGAUUUUUGAAGGAUAAGAAUCCUUCGGAAUUUUUCCUGCGUUGAUCGUUUGAUUCGCAGGAUUGAAUCCCAUAGGAAUUUUUCCUAUGGAUUCAUUUGAACUACAUUUCAUAGGAAUUGUAGCAUCCACUCCAACCUCUUGGAAGAAAUCCUUUAUUUUUCCUGUGAUACAAUCAAACAAACUCAAAUCCUAUAGGAAUCCAAUGGGCAUGUCAUUUCAAUCCUACGUUUUUCCUAUUCCUGUGUUUUUGCAAUCCCGCGAAUCAAAGAGGCCCUUAGAUUUCCUAUGAAAUGUAGUACAAAAGAUUCCAUAGGAUAAAUUCCUAUGGGAUCCAAUCCUAUGAAUCAAAGGGCCGACAUAGGAAAAAUUCCUAAGGAUUUCAAUCCUCCAAAAAUCCUAAAUAAUUCCUUUGAAUCAAAGGAGCCC